rnacentral:rRNA from 1 species
UACAGAGGUCCCAAGCGUUGUUCGGAUUCACUGGGCGUAAAGGGUGCGUAGGUGGCAGGGUAAGUUUGAUGUGUAAUCUCCGAGCUCAACUCGGAAAUGGCAUUGAAUACUAUCCUGCUUGAGGGUCGGAGGGGAGACUGGAAUUCUCGGUGUAGCAGUGAAAUGCGUAGAUAUCGAGAGGAACACCAGUGGCGAAGGCGAGUCUCUGGACGACUCCUGACACUGAGGCACGAAAGCUAGGGGAGCAAACAGG